GACGAACGCUGGCGGCGUGCCUAAUACAUGCAAGUCGAACGCAGUGGGGACGGGUGAGUAACACGUGGGUAACCUCCCAUCAGAGGGGAUAACACUUGGAAACAGGUGCUAAACCGAUACUGAUGGAUGGACCCGCGGUGCAUUAGGUAGUUGGUGAGGUAACGGCUCACCAAGGCCACGAUGCAUAGCCGACCGUAGAGGGUAACCGCCCAAACUGGGACUGUGACACGGCCCAGAUCCCUCCGGAAGGCAGCAGUAGGAAAUCUGCGGCAAUGUACGAAAGUCUAACCGAGCAACGCCGCGGUAGUGAAGAAGGUUUUCGGAUCGUAAAACUCUGUUGUUAGAGAAGCGGUAUCUAACCAGAAAGCCACGGCUAACUACGUGCCAGCCGCCGCGGUAAUAC
rnacentral:rRNA from 1 species